rnacentral:rRNA from 1 species
CUGCAUAUCGAUUAAGUGGUAACUUCCAUACAGUUUCAUACAGCUACCUUGUGACAAGAGGAACCCCACACGAAAACAUCUUGGGCACCUCCCUCCUUGCGGUUAACAUACCGACUUCUGGAGAAACCCGCUCCCAUGUUGUGACAGGCGGUGUGUACAAUACCCGGGAAAUAUUCACCCCUACAUGCUGAUAAGGUUAUAAGAGUUCCCCAUAGUUGUGU